AUUUCCAAUGAGAUGGAAGGCACCUGAGUGGGAGGAAGAGUUCUGGGGCUGAUGGUAGAACAGAAAACUCUGGUCUCACUCCAUAGAGUCAGGGGUUCAAGUGAGGCUAUCUGAAGCAAUGUGUGCUGACUUGGGAAACCGUAAACUUUGUUGAAAUGGCUAAAUACUUCAAUCCUUGCUCAUGUUGUUGUCAGCUCCAAACAACCUAAAGAGGAAUGGUGUGCUCCUGUGAUUACACUCAGCAACACAUUGCAACUUUACACUAGACUUUACAAUGGUUUGCAUCCAGAAGACUGCCAACAUAACAAAAUGAAGUGCAUCAGUAUUUGAGGAAAGCAGAUUGUUAUGCUGAUGUGUGAACUCACUGGAGUCCACAAGUCUCUGUGACAAAUGAAACUUAUUUCAUGAAAUUUUACAAGAUGAAGCAUCCAGCUUCAGUUCUGACAGCAAAUGCAGUAUCUUGCCAACUCUGGCCCAUGAUGUAAGGGCAAUGCAUUGGUUACUUCUGUUUCUACCUGCAUGUC